UACGUAGGGAGCAAGCGUUGUCCGGAAUCAUUGGGCGUAAAGCGCGCGUAGGUGGCCAUGUAAGUCCGCUGUGAAAGUCAAAGGCUCAACCUUUGAAAGCCGGUGGAUACUGCAUGGCUAGGGUACGGAAGAGGCGAGUGGAAUUCCUGGUGUAGCGGUGGAAUGCGCAGAUAUCAGGAGGAACACCAAUAGCGAAGGCAGCUCGCUGGGACGUUACUGACACUGAGGCGCGAAAGCGUGGGGAGCGAACAGG
rnacentral:rRNA from 1 species